rnacentral:rRNA from 1 species
AGGGAAUCUUCCGCAAUGGGCGAAAGCCUGACGGAGCAACGCCGCGUGAGUGAUGAAGGUCUUCGGAUCGUAAAACUCUGUUAUUAGGGAAGAACAAAUGUGUAAGUAACUAUGCACGUCUUGACGGUACCUAAUCAGAAAGCCACGGCUAACUACGUGCCAGCAGCCGCGGUAAUACGUAGGUGGCAAGCGUUAUCCGGAAUUAUUGGGCGUAAAGCGCGCGUAGGCGGUUUUUUAAGUCUGAUGUGAAAGCCCACGGCUCAACCGUGGAGGGUCAUUGGAAACUGGAAAACUUGAGUGCAGAAGAGGAAAGUGGAACUCCAUGUGUAGCGGUGAAAUGCGCAGAGAUAUGGAGGAACACCAGUGGCGAAGGCGACUUUCUGGUCUGUAACUGACGCUGAUGUGCGAAAGCGUGGGGAUCAAACAGGAUUAGAUACCCUGGUAGUCCACGCCGUAAACGAUGAGUGCUAAGUGUUAGGGGGUUUCCGCCCCUUAGUGCUGCAGCUAACGCAUUAAGCACUCCGCCUGGGGAGUACGACCGCAAGGUUG